rnacentral:rRNA from 1 species
CCUACGGGAGGCAGCAGUGAGGAAUAUUGAUCAAUGGGCGGGAGCCUGAACCAGCCAAGUCGCGUUAGGGACGACGGUCCUAUGGAUUGUAAACCUCUUUUGUCGGGGAACAAAGGCGCCCACGGGUGGGAGGAGGAGUGUACCCGAAGAAAAAGCAUCGGCUAACUCCGUGCCAGCAGCCGCGGUAAUACGGAAGGUCCGGGAGUUAUCCGGAUUUAUUGUGAUUAAAGGGAGCGUAGGCCGCAUGUCAAGCGUGCUGUGAAAUGUACGGGCUCAACCCGGGCCUUGCAGCGCGAACUGGCGUGCUUGAGUCCGCGGAAAGCAGGCGGAAUUCGUCGUGUAGCGGUGAAAUGCUUAGAUAUGACGAAGAACCCCGAUUGCGAAGGCAGCUUGCUGCAGCGGAACUGACGCUGAUGCUCGAAAGCGCGGGUAUCGAACAGGAUUAGAUACCCCUGUAGUC